ACCACGCCGCCGCCGGGGUCUCCGUCGCGCCCCCACGCUCUACCACGGCGCCGCCGGGCUACCCACCGCACCCCCGCGCUCCACCGCCGGACUCUCCACCUCGCCCCCGCGCUCCACCGUGUUGUAGGCCUAUACCGCCGGACUCUCCACCGCGCUCCUGCGCCCCUGCGCUCCACCACGCCGCCGUCGGGUUCUCCACCGUGCCGGCGGCCUAUCCACCUACUGCAGAGGAGAGUUGCCUUGUGGAAUGGCGUUACAGGCGUGGCGGGGCACGUCCCGGGGUUGUUGCUGCUAGUGGUGGCCAACCCCGGAGAUGACCUCGCCUGCCGCACGACCCUGCUGGCUUGCCGCCCCACACGCUCAAAAUCUCUCCGUCGCCCAGAUUCCCGCAGGCGUUGCUGCUCGUGGUGUCUAACCCCGUCGACGUCCUCGCCUUGAUAUUUUUAGGGUUGAGUUCAAGGCGAGCGGCGUCAUCUGCUCCGGUACCAAUCUCGACGCCUCUAGGUUUUGGUUCCUCAUCAACGAGCCCCCCGCCAUUAACGCGCAGGGCGUGCAGGUAACUUACUAGACCUGAAUCCAUCCAUGAAUCCAUUGGCCUCGUGCUCCCCCGGUACAUAUUUAUCAGGUUCAUAGAAAUACUUUACGAGUAUUUGUUUUUUUCUUUGAAAGUCUAACUUGUUAUUUGUUUGUUCGCUGCCUUCCAGAGAAAGGGAGCGUAUGUAACAGGCCUCCCAGAUACUCUUCAUGAACUGAUUUUCUCAUAGAAAAUUCUUCACUGCCAUAUAUAUUUCCCGUAGAUAUAUCAUUAAGCAUCAGCAGUUCAAUACUGUAUUUUGAUUCUUUUUCUCGAUUAUAGAAGAUGUUAUUUCUCCAGCCUACAAUCAGGUUUAAUUUCUGCAUAGUUUGUUUCCUUAUUUCCUUUCCCAUGUAAUUAUUAUGUUCUUACUCUACAUUCUACACAGUACAAAUCAGAUUUAAGGCAGUAGUUAUAUUGUUAACCAGUUGUUGCAGUUUCUGCUACAUAUAUAUGUAGAUUUUUGAAAGUAUUUCUAAAUAUGCUAUCAGGUCUAAUGGAAGAAAUCAUACAAAUGAAAUAGCAAUAAUGUUAGCAUCCAACUUCCUGAUCUUGGUGAAGGCCGGCCAUACUCAGGUACAUCUUCCAUCUGCUUUGCCAUGACACUUCAUGCCUCUUUUAGAAGAAAAAUAUUCUUCUGUCACUGCCUGCAGUGUCCGUUAGUGAUGAGGGUUCCAAUCCUGGCAUCUAUCCAAUCCUUUGCCUAGAUAGUUAAAGCAACGCACGAAUGCCACGCUGCCACCGUUGUCGAUGAGACAUGGUGUGUUUCAUCGAUCGUUCUGUGCAUCUGCUCAUCUGCAAAUUACAACGGUAAGAAUUCAACCUGAAAUCCUCUCAGCACAUGUCACUUUGACUUGCAGGCCUGCAGCAGCAACAGCGACCACAGCUGGCCUCCCGGAGUCGUCAAUGACUGCAACAUCGUCCACAUGCACGACCUUACCAUCAUUUUAUCCUCUAUUUAUGAGGAACCUAAUACGUUGAAUAUUUUCAGUGAGGUCUGCCGGCCGGUACUUUUCUCAGUGUAUCAAAUACCCGUACGUGGUGGAUUGAUACCGUAGAGAUGUUCAAGUACAUCAUAUUGCAUUCAAGGCUGCUGGAUGCAUGGAUCGAUUCUGAAAUAACAAAGGACGCACCACAGUCAAUUUGCAAUCUUAUUGCAUGUGACGCAUGCACCAUGCAGCCUUAUAAGAUGGAUGGAGUCAUGGAAGAUUGCCUUAUUCACAUAAGAAGAAAGCCUAGAGCCAUCUAAAGUCACGAGAUUGGAUUCCUAGCCCACCACAGCGUCUCUUCAACCCUGAACCAGUUUAUGCUGCGCCUCUGCAACCUUAUUGGUCACCGUAGUCCAUGCAACAGCUAUCAUGAGGGCCUAUUGUCGUUACCGCGCAGCCCACGUUUAUCUGCUUGCUGCUAUUUCUGCUAUCGCUGAAACCAACCAGGAGUUACUGGCCUUAAGGCACCAAGGAAGCAAAGAAAAGGACAACACUCAAACAAAAGGAGAACACUCACAAGGAACCAUGAAGCCAGCGAUCCGUGUCACCUGGAUAUUUAGCCUUUAUUUUUUACAACACAUGUCUCAUACUAGCAUCUUUUAGCUGUCAUUUUUGUGAACCUGAUGUAUGGUGUCCUGGUGGUUAUGCUUGGAACAGAGUGUAUGUGAAAUUAAUUAAUGGAAUAAAAAAUGGUUGGUGCACUUGA